rnacentral:tRNA from 1 species
UGGAGAUUGGCCUAGUGGGAAGGCAACGGCCUUUGAAGUCGUGAUGACUAGGUUCGAUUCCUAGAUCUCCAGCCA